AUGAGCUCAUGACCUUAUCUGUCAAUCACUCUUAGCUGGAUAGGCAACCUUUUCUGUGGAAUACAAAAGGAGAUAAUGUGUAGAAUGUCUGCAAAAUAACAGUGUUGCUAUUAUAUAUGUAUGUGCAUCUAUUUAUUUUAAUAUAUUUAUUUAUUUAUGAGUUAGCUACCUACUGGGUCAUCUAUCAGCAGUUUUGUCCUUCAAAGUAGCUCAUGCCUAGACAAGAAGCACGCACGUGCACUGUGUGACUCACAGGACGCGUGCAUUAUUGAUAUGCAUGUAUAGAGUUAUUGCUCACGGCUGAAUAUUAAACUCACAGGCUGUGAGUCACACCACACUGGAGCUCUGUGGGAAGCAAUACGUCACACGGAAAGCUGUCAGUCAGUCCCUGCAGUUUUAUAAUUGCCAUGACAAGACUGAGAGCAGCAUCUGCUGGAUUGUAGGUGCACACCAAGUGUCAUACAAAAAUGUACAGUUUACUUAAUGGUGCUAUGGCGCCAUCUAGUGAUGUAUUUUCUUUUCUUUCCUUUUUGCUUCGUUAAAACUUUAUCCCCAACUGUAAUAGUUUAAUUUAAAUUAAGUUUUUAAAUAUAACUUUAGAAUGUACAAUUGAAACUAUAACUAAACCUUACAGGCCAAUGAGAAACCACCUCCCAUGUGUGAGGGAAAGCAAAAAAGUAGUAAAAAAGCAUCCUACAUCUAAGCCUAAUGGCAGGCUGUGACCCCUGCUUAAAAAAAACCCAAAAACAAACACACAGGCUAAAACUAGGCUGGUUGGCUAGCCAUAGCUGGUUUAAGCUGGUCUCUCAGCCUUGCUAGAAUGGUCAGGUUGGUUUUAGCUGGUUAGCCAGCCUGACCAGCUAAUAUCAGCCUGGCAUGUUUGAAAUGUGUCUGUUGACCAUCUUAAACCAGCUUAGACCAGGCAGGGUUUAACGAUUAGGCGGAAGCCAAGGUAGAAUACAGAAUGCAGUUGUAAAAUUUAAAUCACAAGCAGCAAUCAGAAACAUUAAUAUCAAAUAAGCAGUCCGAUCUUUCAACAAGUACAGGGGUAAUUCAAUAAACAACAGUCAGAAAGCAGGCAAUGGGUCAUCCAGUACAUAAGUUAAAUUUCAGUUCCAAGAAUCGUGAACCGUGAAACUCAUAUACAGAACAGGAAAUAGUCAGAGAAGAAGCAGAGGGAGGGAGUACAGCUAGUACUCGGGCUCCCUCUGCUGGCUAGGCGUUACACUGGGAAAGCAGCUAAAACUAGCAAACAAGACUAGGCUGGUUUUAGCUGUUUUUGUUAGCAGGAACGGUAUUUAAAAAUGCAGGGGCACUUUGGGAAAACGACUCCAUUUGUAGGGAGGUUCCCAAAGAAAGUAGGAAACUGAAGCUGAAGCUGUGAAUCCUGAAGUCACUGUGAAAAAUAAUGUUACUGGACACUUGGAUGAUGCCUCUCACAAAACCAGAAUGAAAAACAAAUAUGAGCGCUUAUUUUAGGGAAUCAAACUCCAUGUGAACACAAGCAAAACCCUUCUGAAAACCGAUCUACACACAGAUCUGCAUUGCGAUGCUAGAGAUAGAGACAACAGCCUCACUUAAACCAGGAUGUGUGGAGGAAGACAAAAUUAACACUGUCCAUACUAAUGCCAUCUUGGGAAUUGGAAAAACGGUCUCUGUGCAGAAGUUCAUUCUGGAGUGGGCCGAGGGAAAAACCAAUCAGGAUGAGAACUUGAUUUAAGAUGAGUACUUGAAGCACUUCAAGGAAGUGCUAAGGACGUUUUACAAAUCUGAGCAAUUGUAAUUGUACAUGCUGCUUAAAGCAGCAGUUGAUAAAUCAAUGCAGACUGAACUCUUUGAUCUUUUCCUCCACUUUCUGGGUUGUCCAAUCUCACGGUAGUCCAAUCAUAUACUAUUAGAGGAUAUACUAAAAUACACAGAGAGCACUGCAGGGGCACAUUGUGUAUUACAGAUACAAUUAUUGGUGAUAAACAACUCCCAGCUUAUAAAUCUAUCAAUUGAUUUCUCUGUUUGCAGGAAAUUAAUAAUCAGACUCUCUGCAAUAGAGAUUCAGGGGUUAGUGAAAUUAAAUAAACUCUCAUGGA